UGAUUCAUGACUGGGGUGAAGUCGUAACAAGGUAACCGUAGGGGAACCUGCGGUUGGAUCACCUCCUUACCU
rnacentral:rRNA from 2 species